GACGAACGCUGGCGGCGUGCCUAAUACAUGCAAGUCGAGCGGGUUUAUCCUUCGGGGUAAGCUAGCGGCGGACGGGUGAGUAACACGUAGGCAACCUGCCUUCAAGAUCGGGAUAACUAUCGGAAACGAUAGCUAAGACCGGAUAGCUGGUUUUCUCGCAUGAGAGAAUCAUGAAACACGGAGCAAUCUGUGGCUUGAAGAUGGGCCUGCGGCGCAUUAGCUAGUUGGUGAGGUAACGGCUCACCAAGGCGACGAUGCGUAGCCGACCUGAGAGGGUGAACGGCCACACUGGGACUGAGACACGGCCCAGACUCCUACGGGAGGCAGCAGUAGGGAAUCUUCCGCAAUGGACGCAAGUCUGACGGAGCAACGCCGCGUGAGUGAUGAAGGUUUUCGGAUCGUAAAGCUCUGUUGCCCUAGACGAACAGCAUCAGGAGUAGCUGCCUGUUGUGUGACGGUAUAGGAGAAGAAAGCCCCGGCUAACUACGUGCCAGCAGCAGCCGCGGUAA
rnacentral:rRNA from 1 species